rnacentral:lncRNA from 1 species
GUUCCGCCGGCUCACCUUCGCGGCUAGAUGUUUUUCUUCGGUCAACCUGUAGAAAACAAAAUUGUGAAAAAAUUGCACGAAACGAGAAAUGAGAAUGGGCUCAUUGGAGGCAAUUUUGCACGCGGCGGUACCGCCAGGUUUUACCCACAGUUUCUGGCUCAUUCACCGUAUAUUUUGCUCCGAUUUGAUCAUGGAGGUAU